AUCUGAGACAUCUAAACCUGAGCCACAAUGACUUGGAGAAUUCAGGAGUGAAGAAACUAUGUGAUUUUCUGAAGAAUCCCCACUGUCUAUUGGAGACUCUGAGAUUGCAGUGCUGCAGUUUGUCAGAGAUCAGCUUUGAUUACCUGCUUCCAGCUCUUCAGUCCAACUCCUCCCAUUUGAAACAUCUGGACCUGAGCUGGAACAACCUUCAGGAUUCAGGAGUGAAGCAGCUGUGUGUUUAUCUGAAGACUUCAGAUUGCAGACUGGAGACUCUCAGAUUAUGGGGCUGCAAGUUGUCAGAGACCAGCUGUGAUUAUCUGUUCAAAGCUCUUCAGUCCAACUCUCAUCUGAGAGAGCUGGACCUGACCAAGAACAACCUGCAGGAAUCACAUGUGAAGCAGCUGUCUGAGCUUGUGGACAGCCCACAUCACACACUGGAGGUUCUCAAAUGGAAGGACCCAUAAACACAGUUGUUUGUCUUUGUUGUGUGUGUGUGGUGUGUGUGGUGUGUGUGCGCACGCGUGUCCUGAUGGUCCAGAGAGGUUGAAACACCAGCAGCUUGUGUGUAGUGAUGCUGUGACAAGAACAUGCUGCAGGGAGGUGGAGUGGACAGCAGAGCUUCAUCCAGCAGUGACAGAAAUCAGACGUGCAGAUGGCUGACAGUGCUGUAAACAUGCUCUGAGAGCUCCUCUGUUAGACACCAUGUAGAAUCUAUCGUCAUCCCUUUGUGUUGUUUUGGAUCAUCACAGUGUCUUUUUGCAGACACAAGGUUCAGUUUUAUUUUCUUUGAAAAGUUUCCUAAAUACAUUUCAAUAUCUUUUGUAUAACUGAUGUAAUUUUAAGUUAUUUAUCAUGGUUUUGAAAUACAUCAUGUGACAAUGACUUCAAGUAUCCUUCUUGAAACAGCAAAUGUUUUUUCAUCUACAUAAUCUGUAUAGUGCAACUGAUCAGGAAAAAUGUUCAAUAAUUGAAAAAAAAGGUGAACAUUUGAUAGAUUUGUUUUAUACUUUGUAACAUAAUAACUGGGAACAUGAGAUAUAACCACUAUUAUGGAGAAUUUUAAACUGUCCAGAGUUUGGUGUACUAUAUAUCUUCAGUAAUUUAGAUAAUGAAAGUAUCUAGUGGUUGAGCAGAUGAAGUGCAGGAGGUAGAGGUUUUUUCAUGGAUGCAUGGAUGGAUCAUUGUCGCAGCAGUCUAUCAAUUUCUGCACAGUCGUAACCGACAGAAUUUGAUAAAUUAAUUACAGAAAGAAGGACACUGAGAAAAAAGAGAGCCGUGCUUUAACAAUGGCCUUGUUUGCAGCAGUGGCUGCCACAGGUAAAUAUGCACACGGAGUCGGAACCAGGAGUGGUGGGAAUGGUUUGUCUUCAGAUAUGUAUCUGAUUCAGUACCACAUAUGAAAGUGACCCAGGUCGGAUUUGAAAAUAUCAGAUUUGUGCUGUUCAAACUGUCAGACCAUGAUCGGAUAUGGGCCGCAUAGGGUCAGAAAAGUCAGAUUUGAUGCACUUUUGCCUGCAGUGUGAAUGUAGCCUUAGUUAUCUGUCAGUAAUGAACCUUAAUGUUUUAUAUGGAUAAUAAGGAUCAAUAAAUGUGUGGAUUUGAAUCAAA